CUAUCGUACUUGUCUGAAGCCAGAGGUGGCCAUUUUGGAUUCGGGCGGAAAUGAACUCAAAACCAACCGGCUAAAAACCCAAACAUUAAAACUAGGACACCGGUGCGGUCGAGCUAAAAACACACGCAGACAGGUUUCUUUGCAGCCAGAGUAGGCUGCUGGGAGCAGGCGUGAGGCAGGGGCUUCCCUGGCGCCCACACCUAAAGAUGCCCCGGACCGGAGCAUCACCUGGGCGGCCGCUCUAGCUCGGUUCCGGGUUCGCGCACCUCGGUGGUGGCGUCGGAGGAACUGAAGGCCGGUCUGUUGACCCGUUUCCGGGCCCUUCUCGUGCGGUCUGAGCCCGGUCCUCGGGAGACUGUGGGUGGAGGGGCCUAGGCCUGCGAGUCGGAGCCAGCCGCCAGCCUGCUCCCGCCGCCCGCAGAUCUGUUUGAUUUGAGGAGGAACUGCAGUACUGUCUCCCUGCAAGAGGGAUGGGAUCAGAGAACAGUGCUUUAAAGAGCUAUACACUGAGAGACUCGCCAUUUACCUUGCCCUCUGGACUUGCUGUUUAUCCCGCCAUACUGCAAGAUGGGAAAUGCGCCUCAGUGUUCGUAUAUAAGAGAGAGAACGAAGACAAGGUUAACAAAGCAGCCAAGCACUUAAAGACCCUUCGUCACCCUUGCUUGCUAAGAUUUUUAUCUUGUACUGUGGAAGCAGAUGGCAUUCAUCUCGUCACUGAGAGAGUGCAGCCUUUGGAAGUGGCAUUGGAAACCCUGUCUCCUGCAGAAGUCUGUGCUGGAAUCUAUGACAUAUUGCUGGCUCUUAUCUUCCUUCAUGACAGAGGACAUCUGACACACAACAAUGUCUGCUUAUCAUCUGUUUUUGUGAGUGAAGAUGGGCACUGGAAGCUUGGAGGCAUGGAAACAGUGUGCAAAGUUCCUCAGGCCACACCAGAGUUUCUCAGAAGUAUCCACUCAGUAAGGGACCCAGCAUCUAUUCCUCCUGAGGAGAUGUCUCCAGAAUUUGCAGCCCUUCCAGAGGCCCAUGGACAUGCCCGGGAUGCCUAUUCCUUCGGUACUUUGGUGGACAGCUUGCUCCCCAUCUUGAAUAAGCAGGUUUCAGCGGAUGUUCUCUCCAGCUUCCUACAGACCUUGCACUCAGCUCUGCUGAAUCCUAUGCCAAAGUGUCGGCCAGCGCUCAGCACCUUACUGUCCCAUGAUUUCUUCAGAAAUGACUUUCUAGAAGUUGUGAAUUUCUUGAGAAGCUUGACAUUAAAGAGUGAAGAUGAAAAAACUGAAUUUUUCAAAUUUCUGCUGGACAGAGUGAGCUGCUUGUCAGAAGAAUUAAUAGCUUCAAGAUUGGUGCCUCUUUUGCUUAACCAGUUGGUGUUUGCUGAGCCAGUGGCUGUUAAGAGUUUUCUUCCCUAUCUCCUUGGCCCUAAAAAAGAGAAUGCAGGAGAGACUCCUUGCUUGCUCUCGCCAGCACUGUUCCAGUCACGGGUGAUCCCUGUGCUUCUCCAGCUGUUCGAGGUCCAUGAGGAGCAUGUGAGGAUGGUGUUACUGUCCCACAUCGAAGCCUACGUGGAGCACUUCACUCAGGAACAGCUGAAGAAAGUCAUCUUGCCACAGGUAUUGCUGGGCCUUCGUGAUACCAGCAAUUCCAUUGUGGCAAUUACUCUUCGUAGCCUGGCGGUGUUGGUAUCUCUGCUUGGACCAGAAGUGGUUGUGGGAGGAGAAAGAACCAAGAUCUUUAAGCGCACUGCUCCAAGUUUUACCAAAACUAGUGACCUUUCCCCUGAAGGUUCUCCCAUGCAUGUUGUCUGCAGCCAGCAGAGUCAGAUCUCACAAGUCUUGGAGAACCCCUCUUCUAACGCAUUCCCUAAAUGGCUGUUUUCUGGCAACAUGCCCAUCAACAGCAAGAAGCACAUACAGGAAGAGUGUUACAGUACUCUUUUACAAACAGGUGAUCAGUUUUCUCACUCUAUUAAACUCCCUAUGAAUGGAAUCUCAGAUGUGAAAAACACUUCAGAGGACAAUGGAAACUUCCCAGCAGGUUCUGGUAGUAAGCCUGAAGAGUGGCCUGACUGGAGUGAGCCUGAGGAGCCUGAACACCAAACUGCCAAUACUCACAUACGGUCCCAAGAACCCUGUGAUGUAGCAGAGUCCCGGCACACAAAUCUGAACACAGAGGAGUCGUCCUGGGACGACUGUGAGUCUAGCUUUGGUACUGAAGGAAACACAGUGGCUGGAGCCUCUGCUGCCAUGUCUGUUACCUCAGGGGAGCAGAAGCUUACUGCAGCUUUGCUUCCUCUCACUCAGGAGUCUAAGCCUUUGAAAUCUAGUCCUUCCUCAAAGACCAAUCAUAUACAGCAUGGGGAAGUCAAACCACCAGAUGGAGCCCAAGAACAACCACUUAAGGUUCGGUCAGAACUUGGUUUAGGAGAAGAGUUUACCAUACAAGUCAAAAAGAAGCCAGUACAAGAUCCUGAGUUGGACUGGUUUGCAGAUAUGAUCCCAGAAAUUAAGCCUUCAGGUACUUUGCUUAUUUUCCCUGAACUGAGGACAGAAGUGAUGGUCCCUGACAAGGAUAACAUCUCACCAGUGAUGCAGUUUUCCUCAAAAUUUGCUGCAACAGAAAUGACUGAGGGAGAGGCAGACGGCUGGGAAGAAGAAGAGCUGAGCUGGGAAGAUAACAACUGGUGACUAUGAGGAAGAGCUUAAACUUCAGGAAUAAUUCUAAAAGAAAAGAAGUAAUACCUCAGAGCAAGCUGCACGGAUGCAAAACCCCAAAGCAGCUUGUGUUCCCCGUACCAGAAGCUCUUUUUGCAGUCUGUGCCAACUCAAGCUGAGACCAACCUCCAGUUGCUGACUAAGCCCUGGGUGGCAGAAAGCUCAGUGCCGGAUUCUAGGAAGAAGAGCCUGUGUGCACUUGACCGAGGCCAGUUCCCAUGCAAAAUACCGAGCGCCAGGACGGGCCGGGGAGCCCAGGCCUGGCAUCUCCCCUACUUGGCAGCAAGAACGGCCUAUGGAAAAACGAAGGGACAAACUAAGGCAUGAGAACGCCAGUCGUCUUCAAAAGUUCCGAUCGCAAUCGUCCGACCAUACCAGGCGGGCCUAGGCCCUGCACCCACUGUUGUCCUCGCUCCCUCCAGCGCCACCCCGUAAAGGAAUAGGGUUCGAGCCCGGCCACACGCCGCCCGCUUGGGUAAGGCAGGAGGCGGCUUGCCGCGGCCCGCCCCCCAGCGUCCUCCAAGGAUAUGAGGAGCCGAGGCAGCGCCGAAGGCAGUUCCCGGCGGCAGUCCUCUCGAGACCAGCUGCUGAAUGUCUCCAGCACGACCCGGUUCGC